AUUGAACGCUGGCGGCAGGCUUAACACAUGCAAGUCGAACGAGUGGCGGACGGGUGAGUAAUGCUUGGGAAUCUAGCUUAUGGCGGGGGAUAACUACGGGAAACUGUAACUAAUACCGCUUACCAUAGGAUGAGCCCAAGUGGGAUUAGGUAGUUGGUGAGGUAAAGGCUCACAAAGCCGACGAUCUCUAGCUGGUCUGAGAGGAUGACCAUCCACACUGGGACUGAGACAAGGCCCAGACUCCUACGGGAGGCAGGAGUGGGGAAUAUUGCGCAAUGGGGGCAACCUGACGCAGCCAUGCCGAGUGAAUGAAGAAGGCCUUCGGGUUGUAAAGUUCUUUCGGUAGCGAGGCGUUAACUACAGAAGAAGGACCGGCUAACUCCGUGCCAGCCGCCGCGGUAAUUC
rnacentral:rRNA from 1 species